UUCAGUUCGGCUUGCUGCCGCGGCGGGCUCCCUAAGCGCACUGCCUUCCGCAGCCGCGUGUCAUGCAUUUUGUGCCGCCCUUAGCGGACCGCCGCAGCGGCUUUUCUACAGGUGCGCCGCCUCCCGCGGCCGCUGUCGAUAUAUUCCUAAAUCCCAACGCCUUCCAUUUGGCGUGCCGCCGCGGCGGGCUUCCUAAGCGCACUGCCUUCCGCAGCCGCUUGUCAUGCAUUUUUGUGCCGCACUUGUUGUUGUUGUUACAUGGUCGUGGGUGCGUUCCCCGUACCUGCAAACCACCCUAGUACGAGCCGAGGGCUCAAGGGCUGCCAAAUCGCCUAUAAGCACCAUCCUACCUCGCACUUCCAACGAGACAAGUGAUGAAGUAUACUUACGGCCAAAGGGAACAAUAGAGUUGCGGUGAGACCCUAUAUAUUCCAGCAUCCUUGCCAGGCGUUCAGGCUCCCACUUCGUAGCAUCCUUCAUGCCGCACUUAGCGGACCGCCACAGCGGCUUUUCUACAAGCGCACCGCCUUCCGUGGCUGCUGUCUAUAUACUCCUAAAUCAACGCCUUCAAUUCGGCGUGCCGCCACGGCGGGCUUCCUAAGCGCACUGCCUUCCGCAGCCGCGUGUCAUGCAUUUGUGCCGCACUUAGCGGACCGCCGCAGCGGCUUUUCUACAAGCGCACCGCCUUCCGCGGCCGCUGUCUAUGUGCUCCUAAAUCAACGCCUUCAAUUCGGCGUGCCGCCGCGGCGGGCUUCCUAAGCGCACUGCCUUCCGCAGCCGCGUGUCAUGCAUUUGUGCCGCACUUAGCGGACCGCCACAGCGGCUUUUCUACAAGCGCACCGCCUUCCGCGGCCGCUGUCUAUAUGCUCCUAAAUCAACGCCUUCAAUUCGGCGUGCCGCCGCGGCGGGCUUCCUAAGCGCACUGCCUUCCGCAGCCGCUUGUCAUGCAUUUGUGCCGCACUUAGCGGACCGCCGCGGCGGCUUUCUGAUGUAGCUGUAGCCCGUCCACAGGUCCGAAGACUCCGGGUCCGUCCGCGCGUCUUGACUUCAACUUUCGUUUGCUUGCAGAUUUCUUGACGCCAUCCUGUAUGCCUGUUUUGCUCGUUGUUCCUUACGCCUUCGCACGUAGGGUAGCUGUUAUGUUGGUAAGUAUCCUGCACCGGGCUAUCUGGCGACUCGCGAGGAUACCAGGGUAAAACAGGCGAACUCAAGACAAAGGGCGCCGACCAAGCCCCCCGCAACAACUUGUCAACCAAGAGCUACUCCCGGCAAAACGGGCUCCCAGCUAAAGCCUCGCCAACUGCGGGAGGCCGAGAUAAAACCACCUUUUCUACUGACCUACGGACCUCGCGAACCCAACUAGAAUUCACCCCGCCCACCGACAAGCAACAGAGCCCGCUGUUCAGGUGCCUCUACUCAAGGCCGAACCAACCCAACCACCCGCGCGGUGCCCGCGCGCUUCACUUACUUGCAUGGAUGCCGUCGGCCCGCAAUGUCGAUCUUCGCGUCGCCGUUGUUGUUGUCUUCUCAUAUAUAAGAGACGGCGUCCUAUUGUAGGCAAAACCAAAGAUAAAAGCAAUCUAACAUCACUUGUCAAGCGAUUUGGACCUCGACUUUCUCUAGUCUUUCUAGUCGUCUAUUUUCUGUAACCUGUCUUAAUAAAGCUUAGUUGGUAUCUGUUGUCUGGCUCUGCAUUCUGUGCUGGAAUGGCCAAACUCGGACUGUCUCGUCCUGGUGUGAUAUCCGGGGUUGGCAUCGGGCCCUCCGUACUUCUGUAUUUGGCAAUGGUGUAGUAGCUUCACAUAGUACGGCACACAUACCGUCUAUAAAUACGCGCUAAGGCGCUCUGUCAGCAUUUGUAGAGGCAUUUUCAGCGGCCAGUUGCAACAGUUGGAGUGGUGCAUGGGAUGGCCUUUCAUUGACAUCCGGUGAUUAGAUCGGCACUGCCUGCCUAGAAGGGCCUUGUGCCUGCAAUUCCGUACAUGCGGCCAAGUUGUGCUCCUAAGUUUAAUGCCUUGGCGGCUGCACCCCUGGGAAACCUGCUACAAAAGAAGGUUGGGUGUUGGCCACGCACCCCAAACACGCAACUUUGGGGUGGGUGGCCAACCACACCGCCUUCCACCACUUACCCUCACCCUCACCUAUUGUGUCAAGCGCCUGCCCCCCUGCCGAUACUCACAAUCCCAUCCAUGCGCAUAAUCCCAUCCGUGCUUAGUGUCUUUGCUUGCCUCCCUGACACCUCACAGCAGAGCACCUGCUGUCAGAGCUUGGGCAGCUCCUUCCCCGCGUGCCCUGGUUUCAGUCCAUACUCGACGCCCUUAACCGCCAGCCUUGGGCAGCCUCCUGCAUGCUGCCAACAUAACCCUUGAGCAUUACCUGCGCAUCUGCAAGCUCCGCCGCCCUUCCCAGCAAGUGCUUUCUCGCAUUCCAUAAGUAUGUCUGUAUCCGCCGUUUUGUCCUCCCCCGGCGCCGCAUGCCACGUCAUCCUUCCCGGCAUAUCGUGCUCCCCUUCCACACAUCGUCCUACCCAGCACUUAGAACUUACAUGAAAUUAGCCACGAGGAAUACAGGUGUGCAUGCACGCAUGUAUGAGGCCCUACAGGCAGGCUACUACGUUGUACUAGGAUAUUGCACUGCAUCUCCAUGACCUGUGGCCCACAGGCUGUGGGCCCCUCCGGCCUGACUGAGCUGACUGGGUGGGUUGUAAGCCCUGCUGGAGUGAUACGGCAGCAUCGCCACUGUACGGUAGACCUGCUUGGCUGUAGGCCUCGCUUAAUUACUGUCUCAGCCCGCCAGCCCUCAGCCCCUCCCAGGCCCAGGCCCUUCCCACUGUAUUACAUU
rnacentral:lncRNA from 1 species